ACUUUAAUUGAAGAGUUUGAUCAUGGCUCAGAUUGAACGCUGGCGGCAGGCCUAACACAUGCAAGUCGAGCGGUAACAGAAAGAAAGCUUGCUUUCUUUGCUGACGAGCGGCGGACGGGUGAGUAAUGCCUGGGAAUAUACCCUGAUGUGGGGGAUAACUAUUGGAAACGAUAGCUAAUACCGCAUAAUCUCUUCGGAGCAAAGAGGGGGACCUUCGGGCCUCUCGCGUCAGGAUUAGCCCAGGUGGGAUUAGCUAGUUGGUGGGGUAAUGGCUCACCAAGGCGACGAUCCCUAGCUGGUCUGAGAGGAUGAUCAGCCACAC
rnacentral:rRNA from 1 species